GAGGGUAUAGCUCAGUAGUAGAGUGUGCCUAGCAAGCACAAGGUCCUGGGUUCAAUCCCCAGCACCUCCA
rfam:Camelus ferus unplaced genomic scaffold scaffold466, whole genome shotgun sequence.